rnacentral:rRNA from 1 species
AUUGAACGCUGGCGGCAAGCCUAACACAUGCAAGUCGAACGAGUGGCGGACGGGUGAGUAAUGUCUGGGAAACUGCCUGAUGGAGGGGGAUAACUACUGGAAACGGUAGCUAAUACCGCAUACCAUCGGAUGUGCCCAGAUGGGAUUAGCUAGUAGGUGGGGUAAAGGCUCACCUAGGCGACGAUCCCUAGCUGGUCUGAGAGGAUGACCAGCCCCAGUGGAACGGAGACACGGGCCAGACUCCUACGGGAUGCAGCAGUGGGGAAUAUUGCACAAUGGGCUCAGGCCUGAUGCAGCCAUGCCGCGGGUAUGAAGAAGGCCUUCGGGUUGUAAAGUACUUUCAGCGGGGAGGCGUUACCCGCAGAAGAAGCACCGGCUAACACCGUGCCAGCGGCCACGGUAAUAC